UGAGGAAUAUUGGUCAAUCUGCGAAAGCGGGAACCAGCAACGCCGCGUGAAGGAUGAAGGCCUUCGGGUCGUAAACUUCUUUGGAGCGAGACGAGAAAGGACGGUAUCGCUAGAACAAGCAACGGCAAACUACGUGCCAGCAGCCGCGGUAAUACGUAGGUUGCGAGCGUUAUCCGGAUUUACUGGGCGUAAAGCGCUUGUAGGUGGUUUUGCAAGUUGGACGUGAAAACUUCGGGCUUAACUCGAAGAAGCCGUUCAAUACUGCGAGGCUAGAGGGCGUCAGAGGAAAGCGGAAUUCCUGAUGUAGCAGUGAAAUGCGUAGAUAUCAGGAGGAACAUCGGUGGCGAAGGCGGCUUUCUGGGGCGUUCCUGACACUGAGAAGCGACAGCUAGGGGAGCAAACGGG
rnacentral:rRNA from 1 species